AACGAACGCUGGCGGCAUGCCUAACACAUGCAAGUCGAACGAGACCUUCGGGUCUAGUGGCGCACGGGUGCGUAACGCGUGGGAACCUGCCCUUAGGUUCGGAAUAACUCCCCGAAAGGGGUGCUAAUACCGGAUAAUGUCUUCGGACCAAAGAUUUAUCGCCUUUGGAUGGGCCCGCGUUGGAUUAGCUAGUUGGUAGGGUAAAAGCCUACCAAGGCGACGAUCCAUAGCUGGUCUGAGAGGAUGAUCAGCCACACUGGGACUGAGACACGGCCCAGACUCCUACGGGAGGCAGCAGUGGGGAAUAUUGGACAAUGGGCGAAAGCCUGAUCCAGCAAUGCCGCGUGAGUGAUGAAGGCCUUAGGGUUGUAAAGCGCUUUUACCCGGGAUGAUAAUGACAGUACCAGGAGAAUAAGCUCCGGCUAACUCCGUG
rnacentral:rRNA from 1 species